CGGAGACAGGGAGGAGCCGCGACCGCCGCGGCCCCGCGGCGGCAGGUGUGGAUGGGCGCGGCGGAGGUGCGGAGGAGACUGAGGUGCGGGGAUGUCCACUCCCGCCCGCGCUCGCCCGGGGCCCGGGCUUGGGGGCGGGGAGCGCCUCCCCGGAGGAGCUCCGAGAGCUGCUUCGACCUGCGCACAACUUGGGGCGCGGCCCGGGCGCGCAGGUUCCACGUCCGGCGCCGGGAGGAGAAAGGCGCGCGUCCCCGGCCGCGGCGCCCGCGCGGACCCCAACGGUGAGGCGGCGGCCGGGGGGGCCGCCGGGGGGCGGCCGGGGCUGGAGGGUGGGCGGCGCCUCCGCCCUCCGCGUCGACCGGCCGAGACAGGAGCGACAGCGACGCAAGAUGGCAGCCACCACGGGCUCGGGAGUAAAAGUCCCUCGCAAUUUUUGACUGUUGGAAGAACUGGAAGAAGGCCAGAAAGGAGUAGGAGAUGGCACAGUUAGCUGGGGUCUAGAAGAUGAUGAAGACAUGACACUUACAAGAUGGACAGGGAUGAUAAUUGGGCCUCCGAGACUAAUUUAUGAAAACCGAAUAUACAGCCUUAAAAUAGAAUGUGGACCUAAAUACCCAGAAGCACCCCCCUUUGUAAGAUUUGUAACAAAAAUUAAUAGUAAUGGAGUGGUGGACCGAAGAGCCAUAUCAGUGCUAGCAAAAUGGCAGAAUUCAUAUAGCAUCAAAGUCGUCCUGCAAGAGCCCCGCGCCUAAUGAUGUCUAAAGAAAACACGAAACUCCCUCAGCCGCCCGAAGGACAGUGUUACAGCAAUUGAUCAAAAAGAAAAACCACAGGCCCUCCCCCCACCCCCCUCCCAUUCAAUUUAAGCAGGCUUCAUUUUCCACAAUAGUAAGUUUUCUAGAUACGUCUUGUAGACCUCAAAGUACUGGAAAGGAAGCUCCCAUUCAAAGGCAAUUUAUCUUAAGAUACUGGAAACGAUACUAAUUUUUUUGUCCGUCUAAAAUAUAUAAGUUGUGCUAUAACAAAUCAUCCUGUCAAGUGUAACCCUGUCCACAUAGUUGAACUUCGGGGAUCAAGAAAGUAUAUUUAAAUUGAUUCCCAUCAUAACUGGUGGGGCACAUCUAACUCAACUGUGAAAAGACACAUCACACAAUCACCUUGCUGCUGAUUACAUGGCCCGGGGUCUCUGCCUUCUCCCCUUCUCCUCCCCCUGCCUCCCUGCCUGCCUCCCUCCCUCCCUCCUUCCGUCCCUGCAACAGCCCUUCAGCUUGGGUUGGCUUGCUAGAGUAGGUGUGAAGGUUUCAGGUCACAGCCUGUGGGACUACUGCUGGGUGUGUGUGGGUGCUCCAGCUGCACCCCUGCUUUUUUUAAGUCUUAAAUGAUGCCCCCCACCACACCCCCCCCAAGCCAUUGUCCCUUCUUAACUUUCCACCGCCACCCUUGGCCGAAGCAUAGAUUGUAACCCCCUCUGCUCCCCUCUGAAAUUGGCCUUUGGUAAGGAAUUCAGGGCUCUCCCCAUAUCUUCUCCCCCACUUUAAUUGAGGGGUGCUGCUUUUUCCUUCCUCCUCCUCAACUCCCUUUUUGUACCAUCACCACCCAACACUUUCCACAGUACUUCCUUGCUUUGGCCAGAAGCCAUCAGGUAAGGUUGGAAAGAGUCUCUGACUUCUCUCGUUUAGUUUUGGAACCACAUUUACUCACUCUCCACCAGCCUGGGAAUGAAUAUUGGAUCCCCAGCUCUGCCACCCUCUGCUGUCAUCGUCAGCUGAAGCGUUUUUUUAGCUCAGGUUCUGAUAAAGUGAAAAGAACAGUCACCAGGGGUACUCACACCCGCCAGCUCUCAAAGUUCUUGGUGGUUAAACUUGGAGAAAGACCACAGAAGACACUUGUAAGCACACACGAUCCCUCUGAAUGAAUUUUCUUUUCCUGUAAUUGCUUUUGCUUUUAAAAAUUGAAGUUUUACACAGGGUUCUCAUGUGGUCAUCUUGCAAUCCAUUUGGGUCUAGUUUGGAAUGUGGCAACUGGAACAAAAAGAACCUUGAAUUCGGUGCACACUUUGGUUUUGGUGCUGCUGUUUCUCACGGUCCUCAGCAGGGAUUGAAAAAGAACUCGGUGUGCACAGCGGGUCCCCGAAAUUGGCGGGCUUGACUUCCUGGCAAAUUGCUGCGUUUUUCCACUUUUCUGCUCAGGACCACUAAAUGCUGAGAUGUGGAUGCAUACCGAAAUAAAAGCGAUUCAUUGUGUUCUAAAAAAAAAAAA
rnacentral:lncRNA from 1 species